UCUUCUAUUUUCUCUUUUUUUCUUACUUUUCCAUUCUCCUACCCUUUUAUUCACCCAACCCACAACUCCCAACCUCAUUUUUCAUCCCAACUAAACCUUAAGAGAGAGAAAGGAAGAAAGAAGAAAGGAAAGAAAGAAAGGAAAACUAAAGAGAAAAGCUCGAAAAAGGCUCAACCUUGAAGGAGAAAAGAAAAAACUGAGAGGUUUUCCUCCUCACCCACACACACCAUUAUUAAGGUUUGAAAAGAUUUUGGUGGUUUACCUUGUGGAUUUCAAGCAAAGAUCAAUAAAGAUCCAAGGAACUCGAGGCAUGCAUGUGGAAGAAUCUUGGAAUGCGUGGUGAUUUUGAGCUAGAUUAAGUGGUGGUUUUCAGGAUUAAAGGUAGUUGGAUCCUAGAUCGAGGUGCUCCCUCAUAUUCAUCUUUCAGUAAGUUCACUACGACUCUCAAUGAUAGCACCCACGCCCAGAGUCAUUAUGCUAGUUGUCAAGGGUCUGUUGUAUGUUUAUAUGUGAUGGCUUAAUGUAAAUUGUGAGAUUUGUUGUGAACUUUGUAUGUACUUGGUUUUCACGAUUA